CAAGAGAGCGACCGCCCCAUUUAUGGGUAAGUAGAAUUUCACUUUUAAUUGGCGCGUUUUUCAAAAAGAAAAGAAAUUUGGAUUGAUUGAUUUUCCAAUGCAAACAAAAAAAAGAAUAAAUUUUUUUACUCCUUCCGUUCAAAUCUAUUGGUAGAACAGUAAUUGGAAAUUGGAGUAUUUUAAAUCAGUGGAAGGUUAAUUGUCAUUCUUCAAGGUUGAUUGUUUGGAUUUUUUUCUCAUCUUCUACUAAUUGUUAGAUUUUAAUUGAUUUCGUUUCGAUUUCCAACUUUGAGCUCCAUCUAACGGUGAGUAAAGAAAAGAAUUUCUGUUUACUUGAUUUUCUGGUUUGGUGGAAAAUGAUUUUUCUUUUGCUUCGUUAAUUGUGACUAUCAUCAAAUUGUUAUUCUUUUUUUUUAUUAACAUGGGAGAUAAUGGGGAGAGUUAAUACACUUUAAUCAUUUUCUUCUUUAAAGGUAGACAACAAUUGUUACCUGGGAAUACUUUUUCUUCACGUAUCAGUUUAUAUGUUUCAUUGAUUCUCAUCCAUUUUUCCUUUGUCUCUUUGUUUACAGGUUGUCAACAUAAUCUUUUUUAUAUUUGCUUUUUUCCUCAACAAAAUCUUUACUUCGUUUGAUUGUCUUUUCCUGUGAUUUGGUUUUCUAUAUUUUAUCGAGUGAAUUUUGUAUCUUAAAACAAUUGUAUUGAUCACCAUGUCUUCCGGUAAACGAAAGUUGAGCCAAUUUGACAGUGAAUUGCCCUUGAGAAGAGAGUUUGAUGUCCAUCAGGAAUCGAUAAUUGAUUUUGUCUCUCUCAUGUUGAAUAAAGUGGAAAGCGUUGUUACCGAAUCCGAAUCGACCAAUAGUAUUGAGAACAGUUUGACCUCAUCCACAUCACAUGGAUCUAAUGCUGAAAUUACAUUGACCUCAACGGAAACACCAAGUUAAAUUGAAUGGUUAUCAUGAUUUGUGCUCAAUCCAAUUUAUAUCGACGAUCGUACAACAAACGGACAAACAACUUUGACGAUACUUAACUUUUCUUCUUUAAUCGAAUCAAAUAUUAUUACUACAAUUUAUUCGCUGAUUGUGAUAAUUAUCGAAAAAUUUUCCCUCGAACAAAUGAAAAUUUACAAUAACUGAAGAGAAGAAAAAAAAACAUUCCAAAAAAUAUUCAUAUUCUAAAUUUCCAAUUACUAUGUCAGCAUUUUCUUUUGCUUUGUAUUAUUUUUAUUCUACUAACGAAUUGGAAAAUCCUGAUUGAUAUUUUCUACUUUCGGGUAUUGACCAUGGAAUCCAAAUUGUAACUAAUAAAUAUUCAUUAAUUAAAAGAAAAGACAAUGGACAAUCAAUUACAAUUCGAGAGAGAGAACGAAAAAAAAAUGCUGACAAGUAAAGUUAUUCACUAAAAUCAACUAAUUUUUCACCUUCGGGUGGAGAAAAUUAGUUAAUUGUCAUUCGAAAGUCAAUAAAUAAACAUAAUCGAUUCGAAUAUCGAGAGCAACAAUUAACGCACAAGAUUAAUUAGAUUCGAGAAGAUUUCCUCAAGCCUGAAGAGCUCUGAUCGCCUUUGGUGAUUAAGAAAUUGUAUCCAUUAAACUGCUGAUUAAAAGCUCAUCAUUUAUUUAUCAACAAUUAACUGGGUCAGAAAGAGAAAGUUAAUCAAAUUCUGAAUUCUAAUUAACUUCAUGAAUUAUAAGAGUAUCAAUUAUUCAACUGAACUUGAAAAUCAAGAAUCAAGAAAACAACAAAAUUAUCAUUAAAAUCAGGAAAUGAAUUUAAAAACCACGUUUACAAUUUAACCCUUUACUUUUCACCAACAGUUAACUAUAAUAAACUAGCGUUUCAACUGAUUAAUUGAUAAAAGAAAAAUGAAUUAUAAUUUGAUUGUUUUGAUUGCCUUGACUCUAAUGGUAACAAUUAGCUCAGCUAAAUCAAUCGACCAAUCUUCAUCCCAAGUAAGUGAUCUUAAAGGUAAUUUUAAUGAACAGGGAACAAUUAAGCCAAGUCUGAUUGGAUUAAGCGACAUAAUCAUCGCUAUUCCCGGAGCAGUUGUCAGAACAAUUAAUCAAAUGUUUGUAACAAUGGCGGGUGCGAUUGUGAUGAUGCCCAUGAUACUGGCCGCUCAUCCAUCCGGUCCACUCGGCUGGCUAUCUGGUUAAUCGGGUGAUUUGGUUAAUUGUGAUCGAAAAUAAAUUAUUACUGAGUUAAUUGUUCGA